rnacentral:tRNA from 1 species
GGAGAGGUGGCCGAGCGGCUGAAGGCGGGCCCCUGCUAAGGGUCUAAAGGUUAACCCCUUUCGAGGGUUCGAAUCCCUCCCUCUCCGCCA